rnacentral:rRNA from 1 species
CAAUAAGCGGAGGAAAAGAAACCAACAGGGAUUGCCCUAGUAACGGCGAGUGAAGCGGCAACAGCUCAAAUUUGAAAUCUGGCCCUUUGGGUCCGAGUUGUAAUUUGUAGAGGAUGUUUCGGCGUUGGACCCGACCUAAGUUCCUUGGAACAGGACGUCACAGAGGGUGAGAAUCCCGUACGUGGCCGGUGUCCCUCGCCAUGUGAAGCACCUUCGACGAGUCGAGUUGUUUGGGAAUGCAGCUCUAAAUGGGAGGUAAAUUUCUUCUAAAGCUAAAUACUGGCCAGAGACCGAUAGCGCACAAGUAGAGUGAUCGAAAGAUGAAAAGCACUUUGGAAAGAGAGUUAAAAAGUACGUGAAAUUGUUGAAAGGGAAGCGCUUGCAACUAGACCUGUCCGCGGUCGCUCAUCCAGGCUUCUGCCUGGUGCACUCUUCCGCGGUCAGGCCAGCAUCGGUUCGGGCGGUCGGAUAAAGGCGGCGGGAAUGUGGCUCCUCUCGGGGAGUGUUAUAGCCCGCCGUGCAAUGCGGCCAGUCCGGACCGAGGUCCGCGCUUCGGCUAGGAUGCUGGCGUAAUGGUUGUAAGCGGCCCGUCUUGAAACACGGACCAAGGAGUCUAACAUCUGUGCGAGUGUUUGGGUGUCAAGCCCGGACGCGUAAUGAAAGUGAACGGAGGCGGGAACCUUUGGGUGCACCGUCGACCGAUCCUGAUGUCUUCGGAUGGAUUUGAGUAAGAGCAUAGCUGUUGGGACCCGAAAGAUGGUGAACUAUGCCUGAAUAGGGUGAAGCCAGAGGAAACUCUGGUGGAGGCUCGCAGCGGUUCUGACGUGCAAAUCGAUCGUCAAAUUUGGGCAUAGGGGCGAAAGACUAAUCGAACUAUCUAGUAGCUGGUUCCUGCCGAAGUUUCCCUCAGGAUAGCAGUAACGUUUUCAGUUUUAUGAGGUAAAGCGAAUGAUUAGAGGCCUGGGGGUUGAAACAACCUUCACCUAUUCUCAAACUUUAAAUAUGUAAGAAGUCCUUGUUACUU